rnacentral:lncRNA from 1 species
CUGCAUAGUGUCAUCUGUUGUGGCAAAUGAGAACAAAAGCUAGUGCCCAACACUAAUAGUUUGGUGAUGAAGAGAAGAAAAGAGUAGUUGUUGUUCUUUUAGUGAUGAAGAGACUCGAACCUGAUGAUGAUACGAAUGAUGAUGAGGCUUACGUAAAUGAUGGCCAUGUUGCUCCUUUGGGACAAGAAGAAUUGGAUGAUGACCAUGGGUUCUUUGUAUAGUUUUUAAUCUCUUGGU